AUACUAGAAUGAACUUGAUGCAGCGAGCUACUGUAACUUCAUGACAAGAACUACUAGUGAAGCAUUACUCCUCAUCACCAAUGCUUUAACUUGUCUUUCAACGCAGGGAUUUGACAUAGAACGAAUAAUUUCAGCUGAGAAAGCCACCGUGAGCAAAGAGACUCUUGUUUUCAGGUGCAAAAGGAGCUUAAAAGCACUCUACUCGAUCCAUUCACUCGAUCCAGGCAGCUACAGAAGAGGCAUCAUUCUACUUGACCUCUUUACUCGAUCCAGGAUACCACGGAGGAGGCUGCAGUUUACUCGACCCUCCUACUCGAUCAAGGCAACCUCAGAUGAAGCAGCAGAUUGAUCUACUCGCCCCUCCUACUCGACCCACUACUCGAUCCAUUUACUCGACCAAGGGUGACCAUCCCUACAAGACUUAUUGAGCUAUCAAAGCAUCUUCGAAUCCUCCUCAUUCCCCACUCAACCAGACAUCGGAGCAUACGGAUAGGAGAGGGUGAAGCAUCUACUCGACCAAUUGAUCACUCGGAGCAUAGACACAAAGGUGCACACUUUGCAGCACCCUCUUUACUCGAUCCCCAAGGUCGAGUAUUCGCCCAAACCGCCUCAAGUCUCUUGUCUUCUAGUGAAUCUAGGGUUUCAUCAUUUUAGUAUAAAUAGAUCACUUUGGAAUUUGUCCAAGGGAUCCAUGCUUUAUCUUUCAGUGUUUCUUUGUGUUUAUGAAUCUUGAAACUUUAAUUACUCUUAAUCUAUUUUGUUUUUGCAUUUGAUUGUUGAAGUAAAGUUGUUUAGCUUGUUUAGAUCUACAUUUUGGUAUGAUUUUAGUAAUUUCUGGGUUUGUGUUCUUGAGAAUGUUGCUUGAGUAGUGAUUAGGUUUCUUGAGGAUGGAUUAGAUUAGGGUAAUCUCUAGGUUAGUUAGGUGGUUAGAGUUUAGGUUUAUACCCUUCUGGAUUCCUUUGGCCCCUAUGCGGUUUUCGCUCGCUAAUGUGGAGAUUCGAUCAUAGACGUCCAGCGUCCAAAAGACGUUCAAAUGGAUGUCUGACCUACAAAUUCCAGAGAUUUGUAGACUCGACCAAGGGAUUGGCUUGUCUGCCUAUUGGCUUUGGUAGAUUGUUUCUUAAACCCUGCUCUGCUAUGUUUCAUCAACGAGAGUUGAGAUUAGGAAGUGGUAGAGUUAUGGGGGUCUCUGUCACGAGAGUGGAUUGAUCCGGUUUUUGAAUCUAUCGUCAUGGGUAUCUACCUUUCGCCUAUUAGCCAUUUGAUGAACCCUAGAGUUGUCAUUAUCAAUGAAUCCAUCCUUAGAACUUCUAUUAGAUUUAUUUGUAUCCCCUGUUGAUUGCACUCUUAUUUACCUGUUAUUUGCAUCCCUUUUUGUAACAGAACAGACCAGUUGAUGUUCAAGACCCACCUAAUGUUGAUCAACCAAGAAAUAUUAGUGCUGGUGAUGCCCCAAGGAAUCAUCACCAAAGACAAGGGAUAGUGCCUCCACCAGUUCAGAACAACAACUUUGAGAUAAAGAGUGGUCUCAUCUCCAUGAUCCAAGGAAACAAGUUUCAUGGUCUACCUAUGGAAGACCCCCUGGACCAUCUUGACAACUUUGAUAGGCUCUGUUGCCUUACCAAGAUCAAUGGUGUCACUGAGGAUAUGUUUAAGCUCAGACUAUUUCCCUUCUCUUUGUAAGACAAAGUACACCAGACUCCACCCACCUCAUGGGACGAUUGUAAAAAAGCUUUUCUUAAAAAAGCUUUUCUUGUCAAGUUCUUCUCUAACGCUCGCACCGCUAGAUUGAGGAACGAGAUCUCAGGUUUCAACCAAAAAAACAAUGAAACUUUCUGUGAAGCUUGGGAGAGGUUUAAAAGCUACACCCCUCGGUGCCCCCAUCACGGAUUCAAGAAGGCUUCAUUAUUGAGCACACUUUACAGAGGAGCUUUACCAAAGAUCAGAAUGCUACUUGACACCGUCUCCAAUGGAAACUUCCUGAACAAGGAUGUAGCAGAAGGCUGGGAGUUGGUCGAAAAUCUAGCACAAUCUGAUGGGUGUUACAAUGAAGACUAUGAUCGCUCAAUGAGAGGAACUGGAGGAAAUGAGGAUAAACAGAGCAAGGAUAUCAAGGCUCUGAAUGAAAACUUAAACAAGCUGUUGCUGGCUCAGCAGAAGCAGAUACACUACAUCACUGAUGAAGAGCACUUCCAAAUGCAAGAAGGGGGGAAUGAUCAAACUGAAGAGUUGUGCUACAUUCAGAACCAAGGAGGGUUUAACAAGGGCUACAACAACUACAAGCCCAACCCAAACCUCUCCUCCAGAAGCACUAAUGUAGCUAACCCCCAAGAUCAAGUGUAUCCACCCCAACAGAAUCCGUCCAAGCCUUUUGUUCAGUACAACCAAGGUUAUGUCCCUAAACAACAGUUUAAUGGAGGCUACCAAUAGCAGAAUUCAUCACCAGGGUUCACUCAACAACCACAACAAGCCCCAGCAGCCCAAGAUCCUGACACCAAACGAAUGCUUCAACAAAUCAUCCAGGGUCAAACUACCAGAGCUCUAGUUCUGGAAAAAUGAUUGGCUGAGAUUAAUAGUAAAGUCGACUGUUCCUACAAUGAGUUAAGAAGCAAAUAUGAGGAUCCAGGGCAACACCCAGGAAAGGCCAUUCACAAUUGCAAGGAAUAUGCACACGCAGUCACACUCCAUAGUGGAAGGAAAUUGAUCAACAACCAGCCAACAGAAAAGAUCACUGAGGACAGUGAAGUUCAAGAAGGGGAGGACCAUCAUCAAAACGAAGUUCAAACCGAUGAACACAUUAAGCUUGAUCAACGUUCAGACUCACUCGAUCCUCUACUCGAUCGAGCAAAGCCAACUUUUGAGGAAAGAAAGAUGCGGCUUCAGAGAAAAAUAAAGAAUUUGCUCCUCCACCCUUCAAACCGACUAUGCCUUUCCCAGAAAGAUUCAAGAAGGAAUUAA
rnacentral:sRNA from 1 species